UUUUUUUUUUUUUUUAAGUUUAUUUAAGUAAUCUCUACACUCAAUGUGAGGCUCAAACUCACAACCCCAAGAUCAAGAGUCACAUGCUCUUCCAACUGAGCCAGCCAGGCAAUCCCCAAACUUUCUGAAUUCUGAAGCAUGUCUGACUUAAGAUUUUGGAUAAGGGGUUGUGGACCUAUAGUGUCAUACUUUGGGGGUUGGGAAGAUAUAACAAAUUAAUGAGUAUGAAAGACUGUGCACAGUGCCUGGAAUACAGAAUGGCUAUUAUCUUAUUCCAGAUAAACCAUUUCACCAUUUCCAUCAGUCACUAGAAGCCGAAAGUUGUGUGUUUUGUGUUCUAUUGGCCAUGAGAUCUGAUGACACUGCUUUAAAAAAGAUAAUAUAGCCCUGGAAAACUUCAGGCAACCCAUGGAAGCAGUUUUCAAAAAAAAAAAUUUUUUUAGCAGCUAGAUUAUUUUUCCCUUUUAAUUAAAUUUAUUUUUUGAAAGAUUUUAUUUAUUUGAUAUGGAGAGAGAGCACAAGCAGGGGGAGUGGCAGGCAGAGGGAGAGAGAGAAGCAGACCCGCUGGGGAGCAGGGAGCUUGACGUGUGUUUUGAUCCCAGGACCCUGGGAUCAUGACCUGAGCCGAAGGCAGAUGCUUAACCAAAUGAGCUACCCAAGGGCCCCUAUUUUUCCCUUUUUAAAAAAGAUUUAUUUUAGAGAGAGCAUGUGCGAGUGAGGGGAGUGGCAGAGAGAGAGAGAGAGAGAGAGAGAAUCUUGAGCAGACUCCCCACUGAGCGUGCAGUCCAAUGUGGGGCUCAAUCCCAUGACCCUGAGAUCAUGACCUGAGCCGAAAUCGAGAACCAAAUGCUUAACCAACUGAGCCACUCAGGCGCUUCUAGAUUAUUUUUCUAAAUUAGAUCUAGCAUAGAUUCCCCCAACAUAUCAAAGAGCAUACUGUGAUCGCAUUAACAUACAUUUAUUUUAUAAGUUCAUAUUUGUACAAUAGAGCAUCAACCACAAAGAACAGUGAAGAAUUAUAACGGAACCCACUCUUGGAAAUGGGAGUUCACCGAGGCCAGCUGCAGGCUUCUAUAUCAGCCAGCACGUCCAAUUUUGGGGGGGGCAUUUUCACAUAGGGUUUGCUGUGUGCCAGCCAGGUCUCAACUCACACAGAUAACUGAUUUCAAAUGGUAACAGGUUUGCACAACUGCUUGCUUUGCUGUGUUAGGAAACUCUUCCAGAAAACCUUGAGAACUGGUAGAUUUGGUUCUGGGGGCAACAAUGAACAUUGACACACAUUCACGUUGUGUAUCACAAAUAUGAACGUUAUAUGGGGAAACACCUGAAACUCACAAUAAGCACAAAUACAGUCUUGAUACUGCAAUAAGACUAUAAGGAACGUCACACUGUCCCUUGUCAGGAUAUAAUGACUGUGCCUUGGUGGGAGAACAGCAUGCAACAAGCAAAUGUGCCUGAGGUCUUAUUCAAGCCCGGACUCUGAGGAAACAGUGAACGCAGUAGCACAAUACACACCGUGAGUACGUUUGCUCAGGCUGGAAAGUUACAAGGGCGAAAAGGAUCAAGAGAGGACUACAAACUUCUAGACCACAGAUGCACUUGAAGAGUAAAUAUAUGUGUGGGGAGGGCAGGAAAAGCUGGAUCCCAACCAUUGCACAGGAGAAAAGAUGGUUGAGGCGAUGAUUCAGAGCCAGCUGGGGGAGUUCACAGAAAUCAGAGUCUUCCAGAUUUUAGGUUGUCAACGCAAGGGAACUCUAAAAAUCCCUUCUGUCUUGACCAUUGCUCGGAAUGCAGGGGCCUAGGAGGAAUUUCUGACCUCCUGAGGGUGGAUCCGUUGCC
rnacentral:lncRNA from 1 species